CCGGCGGGACGACCCGUCGGCAAGGUGACGAGCAGGGACGACCCUG
rnacentral:ncRNA from 1 species